GACGAACGCUGGCGGCGUGCUUAACACAUGCAAGUCGAGCGGAGAUAUAUGGAAGGUUUACCUGAAAUAUAUCUUAGCGGCGGACGGGUGAGUAACGCGUGGGUAACCUGCCUUGUACAGGGGGAUAACACAGGGAAACUUGUGCUAAUACCGCAUAACACAGUUGGUUGGCAUCAAUUGACUGUCAAAGGAGGAAUCCGGUAUAAGAUGGACCCACGUCCGAUUAGCUAGUUGGCGGUGUAACGGACCACCAAGGCGACGAUCGGUAGCCGAACUGAGAGGUUGAUCGGCCACAUUGGGACUGAGACACGGCCCAGACUCCUACGGGAGGCAGCAGUGGGGAAUAUUGCGCAAUGGGGGAAACCCUGACGCAGCAACGCCGCGUGAAGGAAGAAGGUUUUCGGAUCGUAAACUUCUUUGAUGAGGGAAGAAUAAUGACGGUACCUCAAAACAAGCCACGGCUAACUACGUG
rnacentral:rRNA from 1 species